ACACGGGAGGGUUCAGAUACGGCGAUUGGACCGGGGCCGUCGAAGGUGUUCUGGAGACUGGAGAGGAGCCCCAUCUGCCAGGAGGAGCCAAGGUUCAUCUCGUGAUCCCCCUCCCUCCUGCUUGCGACCGAUCCUCCUGAAACACCAGCAACAUUCGCAUUUGGACUUACCAGAUCAAACCAUGAAUCCCAAAUUGGAAGCAGCAACACAGCUGCAAAAGACUAAUGUUGAAUGAAGCAUGAGUGGAAUUUAGACUGUGAAGCUCAUGUAUCCAUGCCUUCUGAUAUUUCCUUAAGAAAAUAAGGUAUGUCUGCACAUGUGAUUUUGACCAUAAUUUCUUACACCGUAACAGUGAAGAUGUCAUUGCAAGUGGAAAUACAGAAAAAUACAAGAGGAGAAUUACUGGCUCUGCUUAGUAAGCGAAGAUCGCAAGAGCUGGGCUUUGAUUGCAUUCAGCGUCAGGGCCAUGGAAGUGACUGUUUCUGAAUCUGCUGUGACAGAGCAUUCAAGCAUAGGGGACCUCUCAAAUCUUUUAAUUUCUUCGGGAGGGAUAUAGUAGGCCUGAGGCCUCCAUCGCGGAGGCAGGUGGAGCCAUGGUGGUUGGUGGAUAAAGGCCGGCUGGACACAACCAUGCUGGCCAGGAUAACGAGACAGAAGAUAUGGGAUUGAUGUGUACAAAGGCAAGGAACAAGAUAAAGAUCUUCAAAUGAGCAAUCCAUGAAGGAUGACCGAUUGCGCUGAAUAGAGAGGAAAGCAAUGCACAUGGGUGGCUCGAGCCAAGAAGUGGUCCUCAAGAAGCAUCUCGAGACAUCUCGAUAUUCAACUCAUGCAAGAAGACCCAAUGGAAGCAUAAAAGAAGAGUGUUCUUCCUCGAAGCAAGUACAAUCGGGUGAUUGGCAAUCCAUCCUAGGAAAUGAUCACCAUAGCAGGCUGCUGGAACAAAGAUGAGAGAGAGAGAUACCAUCACCACCAGAUGUGAACAUGGAGAUGUCACAGGACUUAGCAACUCUACUGAUAUGUCACCUGUCUUGUGGAAAUAGAGAGCUGUUCUCUGCAGUCAUAUUGCAUAGUUUCUGUCAGUGAUGGCUUAUAUCAUGACAACACUCUUCCGGGGAUCUGUAAUCAAAUUUAGAUUUGGAUUCCA